CAGCUGUAUAUUUUUUUUCCAUUUCACUUUGUGCCUUCAAUAAAGAGCUAAGCUGUGACUCUUGCCUUAAAAUUCUGCCAAAAUUGUGAAUGCUGGUUUUGAAUUACUUUGCUACCUGAAGAUUGGUGUCAAAGUGACUGUUUCUUCUUGGGAAAGGAGCCACGAGAGCAUAGCUGAAAGCAAGAAUUCAAAGGAAGUAGAACUGUGAAUGAAAGGACAAACUUGUUGGUACCAUAACUACCCUCAUCUGAUACUAAGAUUGCAGGUUGGUAACAAGUGAAAUAUUUCAUAAUACAGUCCAUGAUAAUUAUAAAGAAAAUAUCUUCCUUUUAUGGAAGUCAGGUUCCAAACCACUGUCAUUUUUUUCAGAACAAUUGCUAUCAAGUUAUGUCUAAUCACAUCUUCAUCAUCAUUCAAGUUACAAAGCUACAUAUUUCCUUGCUUUAAGUGGACUUAUUUGCUCACAUCAAAGUUCUCCACAACUGAUCAUAAAAUGAACAAUGAGAAACAUCCUUUCUGAGUAGUUCCAGACUGAAAUUGUGCAGCAUCCAGAGCUUCAAGUUUUACUUGCAUCCAAGAAGAUGAAAACUUUUUAAAAGAAAGUUCAACUAUCAUGUGAUUGAAGAGGCACCUAAAAAAAAAAAUCCCACAAAAUUCUGUAUUUGGUAAGAUAUGGAAUCACAUAAUGAGAUAGCACACUAUAUAAA
rnacentral:lncRNA from 1 species